rnacentral:rRNA from 1 species
GUGUACAACCAUACCACCCUGAACAUGCCCAAUCUCAUCUGAUCUCGGAAGCUAAGCAGGGUCGGGCCUGGUUAGCACUUGGAUUGGGGAAUAGAAAGGCAGCUCAUGGGAUGGGAAAAU